AGCUAAUCUGCCCUACACUAGAGGACAACAGUUGGAAACGACUGCUAAUACUCUAUACUCCUGUCUUACAUAAGUUAGAUAGGGAAAGUUUUUCGGUGUAGGAUGAGGCUAUAUUGUAUCAGCUAGUUGGUGAGGUAAUGGCUCACCAAGGCUAUGACGCAUAACUGGUCUGAGAGGAUGAUCAGUCACACUGGAACUGAGACACGGUCCAGACUCCUACGGGAGGCAGCAGUAGGGAAUAUUGCUCAAUGGGGGAAACCCUGAAGCAGCAACGCCGCGUGGAGGAUGACACUUUUCGGAGCGUAAACUCCUUUUGUUAGGGAAGAACAAUGACGGUACCUAACGAAUAAGCACCGGCUAACUCCGUGCCAGCAGCCGCGGUAAUACGGAGGGUGCAAGCGUUACUCGGAAUCACUGGGCGUAAAGGACGCGUAGGCGGAUUAUCAAGUCUCUUGUGAAAUCCUAUGGCUUAACCAUAGAACUGCUUGGGAAACUGAUAAUCUAGAGUGAGGGAGAGGCAGAUGGAAUUGGUGGUGUAGGGGUAAAAUCCGUAGAGAUCACCAGGAAUACCCAUUGCGAAGGCGAUCUGCUGGAACUCAACUGACGCUAAUGCGUGAAAGCGUGGGGAGCAAACAGGAUUAGAUACCCUGGUAGUCCACGCCCUAAACGAUGUAUACUAGUUGUUGCUAAGCUAGUCUUGGCAGUAAUGCACCUAACGGAUUAAGUAUACCGCCUGGGGAGUACGGUCGCAAGAUUAAAACUCAAAGGAAUAGACGGGGACCCGCACAAGCGGUGGAGCAUGUGGUUUAAUUCGAAGAUACGCGAAGAA
rnacentral:rRNA from 1 species